CCUACGGGUGGCAGCAGUGGGGAAUAUUGCGCAAUGGGCGAAAGCCUGACGCAGCGACGCCGCGUGAGGGAUGAAGGUCUUCGGAUCGUAAACCUCUGUCAGCAGGGAAGAACGGUCACUGUGCUAAUCAGCAGUGAAUUGACGGUACCUGCAAAGGAAGCACCGGCUAACUCCGUGCCAGCAGCCGCGGUAAUACGGAGGGUGCGAGCGUUAAUCGGAAUUACUGGGCGUAAAGCGCUCGUAGGCGGUAUGUCAAGUCAAGGGUGAAAUCCCCGCGCUCAACGUGGGAACUGCCUUUGAAACUGGCAAACUGGAGUGUGGGAGAGGAUGGUGGAAUUCCAGGUGUAGGAGUGAAAUGCGUAGAUAUCUGGAGGAACAUCAGUGGCGAAGGCGACUAUCUGGCACAUAACUGACGCUGAGGAGCGAAAGCGUGGGUAGCAAACAGGAUUAGAUACCCGAGUAGUC
rnacentral:rRNA from 1 species